GGGGUUGUAGCUUAGCGGUUUAGAGCAAUGGUCUCCAAAACCAAAGAUCGGGGGUUCAAAUCCUUCCAACCCCA
rnacentral:tRNA from 1 species